AGCGGCAGGCUUAACACAUGCAAGUCGAGGGGCAUCACGGGUAGCAAUACCUGGUGGCGACCGGCGCAAGGGGUGCGUAACGCGUGAGCAACAUGCCCUAUACAGGGGGAUAAUCCAUGGAAACUUGGUCUAAUAUCCCAUAGCAUUUAGAGGUGGCAUCACCAUUAAAUUAAAGCUUCGGUGGUAUAGGAUUGGCUCGCGUGACAUUAGCUAGAUGGUGGGGUAACGGCUCACCAUGGCUAUGAUGUCUAGGGGUUCUGAGAGGAAGACCCCCACACUGGGACUGAGACACGGCCCAGACUCCUACGGGAGGCAGCAGUGAGGAAUAUUGGACAAUGGAUGGAAAUCUGAUCCAGCCAUGCCGCGUGCAGGAAGACGGCCCUAUGGGUUGUAAACUGCUUUUAUAUGGGAGCAAUAAGGUCUACGUGUAGACUGAUGAGAGUACCAUAUGAAUAAGCAUCGGCUAACUCCGUG
rnacentral:rRNA from 1 species